AUGCUCGUAAGAAGAGAUAAAAAGAGGUAUUUCCGUUUUCUGCACAAACGACCCAAUACUCUGGAGGCAAAAGCUAUCACUGUGGGGAUGGGGACCUCUCCUGUAGAUUACUUCUGCAUGUGUGACGUGCAUCUCUCCAAAGCGCCUCUUCCACCCCCGUCCCAACCCGAGGUGCGUGGGUCCGUGGCCGUCGGGCCUUCGCUGCGGGGACGGUCCGGCUGGGGCCUGCGGGGACAGACCCUCACCCCUCUCCCCCCUCACCCCCCCUCCUCCCGGGAAGCCUCAGGGCCACCAUCCCGGCGGCCGGACCCCCACCCCCGGGGCCGCAGGUGA
rnacentral:lncRNA from 1 species